AUGACAGCAUUGCUCAUUACAUAAAUUCAAUUCAGUGUUUACAGUUUGGCUUACAGUGCAGAGAGUUUCAAUAAUGGACGGAAAUACUUUUCUUGAGUAUAAAUUUUAAAUCAUAAAUUGGAAAAUACGAUAAAAAAAUUUUUUAUUGUUGCAACUAAACCAUCCACAGACGGAAAAUUGAAAAUGCAUCUUAUGUCCGGCACCAGGAAAUCAAUAGCGUGAACUUUUUUAUGAAAUCGACUCCUAUGGAGUUUGCGGGGUGUAAAAAAUGAUUCGCCCUUUCUGCAGUUUGUGAGGGCGUCUAGAAUGUAACUUUGUCUGAUUUUUAGACAAACGACUUACGAAUUUUAAAUAUACAUUAGUAACAACACGAGAAAAUCAAUGGUGUUAAUUUUUUUUUAAACUCAAAAAAUUAUAACUUUGAAAUCGCUGCACAUUAAGGACUCAAAUUUUCUGAAAAUUCUUUUGUCGAAUAUAUAGAACAUCUCGAUAAGGUUUGAACCAAAUCAGCGAUUUUCCCCGUAAAAAGAAUUUUAUUUGGUGAAAUGACUCAUAUAUGUGUAUGUCAUAACUUUUAAACAACUUGACUGAUUUAGAUCGUUGAUAUACCGAUUGGAAAACUUUGUUGGCCAUUAAAAUUGGUUCGCAUUAAAAGUAAAACGUCUUGAUCGAGUCUGAUAGAACCUAUUUCGAUCGGUUUUGUUUAUUAAUAAAUCUUAUUGAAAUUUGAAGUACUCAAAAAUAUUGAUUUUUCCAAUUUAGAGACACGGUAAGAAAUGCAUGGCGUUUAACACCAUGCUGGUAUGGUCUCAAGACAGAUACUAAAAUAGUAUGUGAAAUAUUCCAAGACAGUUUUAUAACGAGUCCCAGAAGUAUGGCGUUAUUUACUAUACUGGAUAGUACUGAAGCCAUAGCAGGCACACCGAUACAGCAUGGCCCUGAGACCCAUCCUACAAUGCCAUAAUUUCUGGCGUGUCAAUCAAUGUAUACCAUCGUAUUACCACCAAAACUAUAUAGAUGUCGUUAGACUAGGUUUAUCUGCCAGAAUCAUUGUGGAUACGGCAAUGCAGUAAGGGCCUGACGGCCAUACUGACAUUGCGGCGUCCACGACAACUAUCGCCAAUGUUAUUAUUCCUGCAAUGGUUGAAUCAUCUAUGCAUAUAAUUUUAUAACCUAUAAAAAUCUUCGAUACCAUACAGUAUGGCGUUUACGCCCAUACUGGCAUAGUGAUAUCCGCAAAAUAUUUCUUACCGUGUACAGCCGGAAGUUUUGGAGCUGAUCCACAGGGUCAACCAUUUUCCGAAUUUUUCUCUCAAUUUAUAAUAAUUCAAGAAACUUAUUAUAUGUUUCCUGCAGAUUUAUACUUUGAAAUACAAGAAACCUGUUUUGCUUUAUUCUGGAAAUUUUUUUUACUGAUGAUCGCGAAUGGUGUUGAGUGAAUAUUCAUAAGUAUCGAUUGGGCUGAAAGACAAUAGACAGUUUCCGCAACGUAGCCCAAAGCAAUUGUAUUGUUCUUUAAUUAUGAUCAAGUCAGACCAAGUUAUAUGUAAAUUACUGUAUUUUAUAUCAAAAACUUAUCUUUUCUGAUCGAAGAUAUUUAUGUUUCGAUGUAGUAGGGGAGGGUGGGGCA